CUCUGGGGCUCCACGGAUUCACAUGAACACAACCUAGGUUCUGAGACAUGGAGGAUAAUGGAAGCCUUAUUUAUAUCAACCACAUUAUAAUCCGUCCUGCCGCUGUGAUUUAGAGCGGCUUUAGAAAGAGGCCAGGAAUCGAAAGAGCAGGAGACCCUGAGUGGAAGAAUGCCUCCGUCCUUCCUGCUUUUAAACGAUACCGCUGAGGGAACGCCGGGCCGGGACCUGUGAGGGCAAGAUCUGAGAUGUUGAGAGACACACACCAGGGAUUUUUUACUGAGAAAGUCAAAGUGGGGUCAUGUUUUUUAAAGGCUUGGUCACAUGGGAGCAGAUUCAGGGGCUGCAUCAUUCCAAGGUCGCAUUUGAAGACCAUUCGUGUCACAGUGGCGCUACUUGACGCUCCCACAAAUGCAGCUGACAAAUGCGUCCGUCCAUCCCCAAGAAAUGAAGGCUCAAACGGGUUGAUCCUUCCAAGACCAACCUAUCCCAGGAUUCACUGGGUGACCAAUCGCUUUUCAAAGAGUGCGACCCCCAGAUCGCGUUGAAUGGAAACACACAGAAGACAUAUAAACUCUGUCUCUUUACAUAAUUAUCACCGGAGUGAGACACAGCGAGGCCCCGGUGAGAGUGACGGCCGAGUGUUUGUCACGCUCACAGGAAACCAUUAAGUCAACGUUGUCUUGGAUGAGGAUGCCUCAUCCUCGCUGACCUGUACAUCAUGUCCAUCACACGGGAGAGCCAUAACCAUAAUACUGUCAACGAUGGAGAGCUCUUGUCUUACACCUCUGACCUCCGUUGCUCUGGAACACGGGUCUUUUUAUACUCCUGCACGCAUACACCCUGAUAUUUGGCAUCUGCAGAGAGGGAAUAGAAAUCCAAAAAAAGCAUCAAAGCAAAUCCACAGAAGAUGAAGUGUACCUGGUACGCCUCACUGCUGACCCCAGGACCCUCUGCACCCAGGGUGGUGGUGGCCGAGGGAGACAAAAGAAAAAAGCAGAGUGCAGUUAUCAAAUGUAUUCAACCGCUGAGGGUCAGGGCUGUGGUGUCCAGCUACUGGGGACAGACACUGGUCUCAUGAUGGAAUGGUUUGAGUGAUCGGUAGUUACAGUUUGUACUCUGACAGCCCACCACUGGACUGUAUUGUGCGACUCACCUGUCAUAAAGGAGUUUGGACAUUUGUUUUUUAAGUUUACCUCAUGAAUAUGUCAUUUAAAGUUUAUAAUUUUUGGACUGAAGAUAUUCAUUUAAUGCUCGACAACAACUCUGCUCAUAAUAUUAAGUGUUUGCAGAUGAAUCAAAAGCACUCGAAGAAGAAUAAUAUUAUUAAUACAUUACAGUACAGUUUUGCCUAUCACCAAUUUACCGCCACAAUCUAUGUGCAGCACUCACACACUGCCAGCACAGCUCCCAGGGAUUCAGAAUCUUGCCCAAGGACACUUUGGCACAUGGAGCUGCAGGGACAACCUAAUCUACCUCCUGAGCCACAGCCAGACCGUCAACAUUGAAAAUUUAAUUAAAUUUACAUUUAAUGUAAGGGUGUUUAAGUUUCCAUGCUGAUAUGAUAAGGCUUUUGUCCCGGGAAAAAUUAAGGUUGAACAUAAGAA